rnacentral:tRNA from 1 species
AAUUUAUUAGUUUAAAAAAAACAUUACAUUUUCAUUGUAAAAAUAAAUAUAAAAUUUAUAAAUUU